GAUGAACGCUGGCGGCGUGCCUAAUACAUGCAAGUAGAACGCUGAAGGAGGAGCUUGCUUCUCCGGAUGAGUUGCGAACGGGUGAGUAACGCGUAGGUAACCUGCCUGGUAGCGGGGGAUAACUAUUGGAAACGAUAGCUAAUACCGCAUAACAGUAGAUAUCGCAUGAUAUCUGCUUGAAAGGUGCAAUUGCAUCACUACCAGAUGGACCUGCGUUGUAUUAGCUAGUUGGUGAGGUAACGGCUCACCAAGGCGACGAUACAUAGCCGACCUGAGAGGGUGAUCGGCCACACUGGGACUGAGACACGGCCCAGACUCCUACGGGAGGCAGCAGUAGGGAAGCUUCGGCAAUGGACGGAAGUCUGACCGAGCAACGCCGCGGGAGUGAAGAAGGUUGUCGGAUCGUAAAGCUCUGUUGUAAGAGAAGAACGAGUGUGAGAGUGGAAAGUUCACACUGUGACGGUAUCUUACCAGAAAGGGACGGCUAACUACGUG
rnacentral:rRNA from 1 species